GAGGAUGCAAGGCAACUCUUUUGAAGGCCCAAUACCUUCAAGUUUUUCUAGUCUCACGAGUUUGAAAGACUUAUGGUUAGGCGACAUAUCAAAUGGAAGCUCAACUUUAGCAUUUAUUAGUAAUUUAACAUCCUUAGAGACCUUAGUCUUGAGGAAUACCAGGAUAUCUGAUACUAUUCCACCAAACUUUUCCCGCUACACUAAU